UACGUAGGGUGCGAGCGUUAAUCGGAAUUACUGGGCGUAAAGCGUGCGCAGGCGGUUAUGCAAGACAGGUGUGAAAUCCCCGGGCUCAACCUGGGAACUGCACUUGUGACUGCAUGACUAGAGUGCGUCAGAGGGAGGUGGAAUUCCGCGUGUAGCAGUGAAAUGCGUAGAGAUGCGGAGGAACACCGAUGGCGAAGGCAGCCUCCUGGGAUGACACUGACGCUCAUGCACGAAAGCGUGGGGAGCAAACAGGAUUAGAUACCCUGGUAGUCCACGCCCUAAACGAUGUCUACUAGUUGUCGGGGAUUCAUUUCCUUGGUAACGCAGCUAACGCGUGAAGUAGACCGCCUGGGGAGUACGGCCGCAAGGUUAAA
rnacentral:rRNA from 1 species